GCUUAUGUUUACGAUAUCCAAACACAUCUUCAUAAAAUCGAAGACCACUUUAUCAAGGAUAAUGUGGUCUUCGCGUAUACGGUUGUGGCCAUGGCGUCAAAUUUGGUGUUAAUAUUCAGGAAGCAAUAGUUUAAUUUGCAGAUGAAAGACUCGAAUAGAAACGUCUCCGCAAACCAACCUGUAAACCACCGUUCAAACGCCGUCGAUUGUAUCUCAUCAUUUUCUCGCGAUCCAACGUAUGUGUUCAUCGCCAGCUUCAAUCUAUAGAAUUCCGGUUAAGAACCGAUGGUUUAAACACCAGUCGGAUAUUUAGGAUCGCUACCGGUAAAUUAUGGGAUAAUUUCUGGAAGUCUGCCUACAUAUGAAACACCUACGCAUAAUCCCCCGCCAUCAAACGCCUAUACACGACCUGGGAAGACCGCUAGCAGUUGAGCAUGCGUAGCGUUCGUACUGGCCUUCUAAAGAGCAACAAUUAUAUCCCAUACUUUUCUCCGACGACGCACCAUACGAUUGUUCCGGAAAUGAUCAUUGCUAGCGUAGAAACAAGGCCAACGAUUCUAAUAUCCAAACAAACGUUCAUUGAUCAUCGGAGCAUCGAAGAUAAGUAUAUAUACA